AGAGUUUGAUCAUGGCUCAGAUUGAACGCUGGCGGCAUGCUUUACACAUGCAAGUCGAACGCGGUCGGGGGGCAACUCCUGACUGAGUGGCGAACGGGUGAGUAAUACAUCGGAACGUACCCCGUUGUGGGGGAUAACCCACCGAAAGGUGGGCUAAUACCGCAUACGCCCCGAGGGGGAAAGCGGGGGACCUGAGAGGGCCUCGCGCGAUGGGAGCGGCCGAUGUCGGAUUAGCUAGUAGGUUGGGUAAAGGCUGACCUAGGCGACGAUCCGUAGCUGGUCUGAGAGGAUGAUCAGCCACACUGGGACUGAGACACGGCCCAGACUCCUACGGGAGGCAGCAGUGGGGAAUUUUGGACAAUGGGGGCAACCCUGAUCCAGCCAUGCCGCGUGAGUGAAGAAGGCCUUCGGGUUGUAAAGCUCUUUCGGCCGGAACGAAAUCGCAUCUUCUAAUACGGGGUGUGGAUGACGGUACCGGAAGAAGAAGCACCGGCUAACUACGUGCCAGCAGCCGCGGUAAUACGUAGGGUGCGAGCGUUAAUCGGAAUUACUGGGCGUAAAGCGUGCGCAGGCGGCUCUUCAAGUCAGAUGUGAAAGCCCCGGGCUUAACCUGGGAACUGCGUUUGAAACUGGAGGGCUAGAGUGUGGCAGAGGGAGGUGGAAUUCCACGUAGCAGUGAAAUGCGUAGAGAUGUGGAGGAACACCGAUGGCGAAGGCAGCCUCCUGGGCCAACACUGACGCUCAGGCACGAAAGCGUGGGGAGCAAACAGGAUUAGAUACCCUAGUAGUCC
rnacentral:rRNA from 1 species